CAGUCGCCGCGGUAAAACGAAGGGGGCUAGCGUUGUUCGGAUUUACUGGGCGUAAAGGGCGCGUAGGCGGACUGAUAAGUCAGGGGUGAAAUCCCAAGGCUCAACCUUGGAACUGCCUUUGAUACUGUUUGUCUUGAGUUCGAGAGAGGUAAGUGGAACUGCGAGUGUAGAGGAGAAAUUCGUAGAUAUUCGCAAGAACACCAGUGGCGAAGGCGGCUUACUGGCUCGAAACUGACGCUGAGGCGCGAAAGCGUGGGGAGCAAACAGGAUUAGAUACCCCGGUAGUCCCUGUCUCUUAUAC
rnacentral:rRNA from 1 species